UCCUGUGGAGAUAAGUUUAUGCUAUAUGGUAGUAUAUACACAGCUGAACGGAAAAACAUUGAUGCAAGAUGCAUUUCUUGUUUGCCAAAUGCCAAUAGCACCAAGAACUCAUCACAAACUCUACAUGACCCAUGCAUAAUCAGGGAAGACAGGAGUAUUUUUUUAUGAUAGAUUACACAUCAGGUCUCGCGUAAAUUUUGUUCGAGUUCAAAUUUGAGGCCUCAAUGCAACAGCGGUCUGAUCGAAACCAGCUUUCUGCAUCAAAGCACGUAAAUGUGAAUGAUAUUGAUCUCGAACGUAGUUACAGAAGAAAUAGCUUUUUUAACUUGUAUCGAAUUGAAAAAUUUGGUGGCUUUUUUCAAUUUUAAUGCAAAACUUAUUCAUUUUUUCUUUCGGUCUAUGUAUUAUAUGUUUUGACUAUUGUGGAAUCGUAUAUGAAUUUGGUGUUCUAAGCAUUUUCAGUGAGAAUUUAUUU